rnacentral:rRNA from 1 species
GGCGCGCCUAACACAUGCAAGUCGAACGACUCAGGGUCUUCGGACUCUGAGUAACGUGGCGGACGGGUGAGUAACGCGUGGGUAAUGUGCCCUUUGGUGGGGGAUAACUCGUGGAAACGCGGGGGAAUACCGCAUAAGGCCGCAAGGGAUACCUUGCGGGGAAAGGCUUCGGUCGCCGAUGGAGCAGCCCGCGUCCGAUUAGCUAGUUGGUGAGGUAAGGGCUCACCAAGGCCACGAUCGGUAGCCGGUCUGAGAGGAUGAACGGCCACACUGGGACUGAGACACGGCCCAGACUCCUACGGGAGGCAGCAGUGGGGAAUUUUGGGCAAUGGGGGAAACCCUGACCCAGCGACGCCGCGUGGAGGAGGAAGGCUUUCGAGUCGUAAACUCCUGUUCUUGGGGACGAUAAUGACGGUACCCAAGGAGAAAGCCCCGGCUAACUCCGUGCCAGCAGCCGCGGUAAUAC